AUUGAACGCUGGCGGCAGGCCUAACACAUGCAAGUCGAGCGGAGCGGCGGACGGGUGGGUAAUGCCUAGGAAUCUGCCUGGUCGUGGGGGAUAACGUCCGGAACCGGGCGCUAAUACCGCAUACUAUCAGAUGAGCCUAGGUCGGCUGAGCUCGUUGGUGGGGUAAAGGCCUACCAAGGCGACGAUCCGUAACUGGUCUGAGAGGAUGGUCAGUCACAAUGGAACUGGGACACGGGCCCGACUCCUACGGGAGGCAGCAGGGGGGAAUAUGGGACAAUGGGGGCAAGCCUGAGCCAGCCAUGGCGCGUGUGUGAAGAAGGUCUUCGGAUUGUAAAGCACUUUAAGUUGGGAGGCGGUACCAACAGAAUAAGCACCGGCUAACUUCGUGCCAGCAGCCGCGGUAAUAC
rnacentral:rRNA from 1 species